UGCCUCUGUCUCUCUCAUUCUGUUACUCUCUCUCUCUCACUCCUCUAACUCUACUCUCUUCCUUAUAUUCAAUCUCUGUCUGUUUGUCUCCAUUGCUGUCGGGUAAGAAGCAUUGUCGUCGACACACAGGAGCACCACCGUCUCAACACUGUCAAUCCAUUGCCCCAAUUACACACCAAACUUGACGUUGUGCUAGCAUAUGAUUGGGUGUUCAUAUCAAUGCCAACAUAGUUGGGAUGCGUUGCUUGGACGUCUAAAAGGGUUUGUGGCCAAUAAAGCUUAUCCUGAAGGUUCUAUUGCGUUUCCAAAGAGUGUACAACAUUUUGUUCAAUAUAUUUAGAUGGAGUUGAAACAUUGUUUAACCGCCUAUAAAGGAAUUAUGACAUGGGUGACCGUGGCCCAGGAUUGGCUAUAUUCACUCAAAAUGUCUGUCCUUUGGUCUAAUGACAAGGGCAUCUGAUAUGUCUGUAUUUUAAUACGAGAUGGCUCAUUAGUUUGUCUUACACAAUAGCACAAAAGUGGAAACAUACAUAAAGUAUGAAUCCAUCAUAUGUAUUUAUAUGUUAUAGUUGUAAAUCGAUUAGUAUUGAUUUUUUGAAAUACUUUUGAAUCGCAUUUUUUUUAACUAGGGAGCACAAGAACUUGUUACAACAAACAAUCAAUGCAUUCGACAUCGCAAAGAGACAACACAAAGAAUUCCCUAAAUGGUUCAAAGAAAGGAAAAAAUUACAUGUUCACAUUGAUCAUGCUCUAAAUGCAAUGACUAGAAAGUAUGCCACUCCAGCAACUAAUGAGUUAGGGUUUCAGAUAAGGAGUUUGUGGCCUCUCAAGGAUGUUAAGUCAUGGUUGAAUAUGGAUGAGACUACUAAAGCUAUCGUCAUCCAUGUUGUUCUUGUAAUUGAUAAUACUAGUCCACAAUCUAUAUUUGUAUUAUGUAUACUUGUGAGAAGCACUUAUAUUUAAUGACUUUAAUUUUAACUUGUUAUGCUUGUAGAACCAGUUUGAUAUUGGAGACGAUUUUCACAAUGAUUCACAAGCUCAGCGGAUUGUGAAUAAGAAGGCAUAUGUGUUGUACAAAGAUCGGAGGUACACCUUGAAGCAAGAAUUAGAACUAUUAGAGGAAGAGGGUGUUAAUGACUUCUAUGCUCAUCCGCCCUGAGGGGUGAGUUUAGAUGAUUGGAAGCAUUUGAUUGAUGUGGCGUGACAAAAUGCAUCUCACCAGGUAAAAUAAUAAUACAUUGUAUAUAGCCCCAUGUCAAAUGUGAUAUGCCUUAAUAUUUAACAAAAAUUUGUUUAUGUAAUUAUUAUUUUUAGAAACAGUCAGAAGUUGGUAAGAGUAACAAGAGUUAGUUUCCAUACAAUCAUACCAGUAGAUCUCUCUCAUUUCUUAUCGCAAUGGUUGCUAUGGUGAGAAUGAUUUUAUUUAAAAGUAAAUCCAUUAUUAUUAUUAUUAUUUGUUAUGAAUAAUAUGUUGUGAUUAUUUUUUGGUUCUUAUUUCAAUCUAAAAGGUAGCUGAAAAUGGAGACUUGGAUUUUCCUAAGUUUUAUGAAGACAACCACACAUCCAAGAAGACGAAUGACUAGAUCCAUCCGAAAUACGCAAGAGAUGGUCAAUCUAUAAGCGGUUGCCACCGAGUCGGGGAUGCUAUUGACAUAGGAGGAGCUUUCAAGACAAGUGCUUGGAGAGAAAAAAAAGUACUUGCUUGGAUUUGGGAUCAACCCACAACCCUCUACCAUGGCUGUACCAUGAGCGCGUGAUAAGGACAUGGAGACAAUGAGAGCUGAGAUGGAGGCACUUUGUGAGGACCAACAAAGAGAUCAUGACGAGUUGAUGAAAGAGCGAGAAAUAUUACAAUGAGAUGUUGAAAGAGUGAGAGGAGUGUGAGAGAUGCUAUAAUGAGAUGUUGAAAGAGCGUGAGUAGGGGUAGAAAGCUCAGGAUGAGACAAAUACAAAGAUCGAUAUGACAACCCUCACCUCUGAUUAGUGCUAAUCUAUGAUUAAGCAUGAUAAGUAAUUGAUCGGGCUGAAAUUCAGAAUUGAUUGCAUAAGUGUAUUAUCUUAAUUGCAUUUCUA